GAGGAAGAGGAAGACUUCUCGUCUGAAAAUGUUAUUACCAGACGAAUACGGAUUAACAGAGACCGCCAAGGAGCGCACGAGAAAUUGGUGAACGAUUAUUUUUCGGAUGAACCACUUUACAAUAACGAGAUUUUCAGACGCAGGUUCCGAAUGAGUUGCCGCUUAUUCACACGGAUUGCUAAUGAUUUGGCGGGGCUAGACCCGUUUUUCACGCAACGACCUGAUGCUCGAAAUUAUGAAGGGUUCACCACGUUA
rnacentral:lncRNA from 1 species